AGCGUACACGGUGGAUGCCCUGGCAGUCAGAGGCGAUGAAGGACGUGCUAAUCUGCGAUAAGCGUCGGUAAGGUGAUAUGAACCGUUAUAACCGGCGAUUUCCGAAUGGGGAAACCCAGUGUGUUUCGACACACUAUCAUUAACUGAAUCCAUAGGUUAAUGAGGCGAACCGGGGGAACUGAAACAUCUAAGUACCCCGAGGAAAAGAAAUCAACCGAGAUUCCCCCAGUAGCGGCGAGCGAACGGGGAGGAGCCCAGAGCCUGAAUCAGUGUGUGUGUUAGUGGAAGCGUCUGGAAAGGCGCGCGAUACAGGGUGACAGCCCCGUACACAAAAAUGCACAUGCUGUGAGCUCGAUGAGUAGGGCGGGACACGUGGUAUCCUGUCUGAAUAUGGGGGGACCAUCCUCCAAGGCUAAAUACUCCUGACUGACCGAUAGUGAACCAGUACCGUGAGGGAAAGGCGAAAAGAACCCCGGCGAGGGGAGUGAAAAAGAACCUGAAACCGUGUACGUACAAGCAGUGGGAGCACGCUUAGGCGUGUGACUGCGUACCUUUUGUAUAAUGGGUCAGCGACUUAUAUUCUGUAGCAAGGUUAACCGAAUAGGGGAGCCGAAGGGAAACCGAGUCUUAACUGGGCGUUAAGUUGCAGGGUAUAGACCCGAAACCCGGUGAUCUAGCCAUGGGCAGGUUGAAGGUUGGGUAACACUAACUGGAGGACCGAACCGACUAAUGUUGAAAAAUUAGCGGAUGACUUGUGGCUGGGGGUGAAAGGCCAAUCAAACCGGGAGAUAGCUGGUUCUCCCCGAAAGCUAUUUAGGUAGCGCCUCGUGAAUUCAUCUCCGGGGGUAGAGCACUGUUUCGGCAAGGGGGUCAUCCCGACUUACCAACCCGAUGCAAACUGCGAAUACCGGAGAAUGUUAUCACGGGAGACACACGGCGGGUGCUAACGUCCGUCGUGAAGAGGGAAACAACCCAGACCGCCAGCUAAGGUCCCAAAGUCAUGGUUAAGUGGGAAACGAUGUGGGAAGGCCCAGACAGCCAGGAUGUUGGCUUAGAAGCAGCCAUCAUUUAAAGAAAGCGUAAUAGCUCACUGGUCGAGUCGGCCUGCGCGGAAGAUGUAACGGGGCUAAACCAUGCACCGAAGCUGCGGCAGCGACGCUUAUGCGUUGUUGGGUAGGGGAGCGUUCUGUAAGCCUGUGAAGGUGUGCUGUGAGGCAUGCUGGAGGUAUCAGAAGUGCGAAUGCUGACAUAAGUAACGAUAAAGCGGGUGAAAAGCCCGCUCGCCGGAAGACCAAGGGUUCCUGUCCAACGUUAAUCGGGGCAGGGUGAGUCGACCCCUAAGGCGAGGCCGAAAGGCGUAGUCGAUGGGAAACAGGUUAAUAUUCCUGUACUUGGUGUUACUGCGAAGGGGGGACGGAGAAGGCUAUGUUGGCCGGGCGACGGUUGUCCCGGUUUAAGCGUGUAGGCUGGUUUUCCAGGCAAAUCCGGAAAAUCAAGGCUGAGGCGUGAUGACGAGGCACUACGGUGCUGAAGCAACAAAUGCCCUGCUUCCAGGAAAAGCCUCUAAGCAUCAGGUAACAUCAAAUCGUACCCCAAACCGACACAGGUGGUCAGGUAGAGAAUACCAAGGCGCUUGAGAGAACUCGGGUGAAGGAACUAGGCAAAAUGGUGCCGUAACUUCGGGAGAAGGCACGCUGAUAUGUAGGUGAAGCGACUUGCUCGUGGAGCUGAAAUCAGUCGAAGAUACCAGCUGGCUGCAACUGUUUAUUAAAAACACAGCACUGUGCAAACACGAAAGUGGACGUAUACGGUGUGACGCCUGCCCGGUGCCGGAAGGUUAAUUGAUGGGGUUAGCGCAAGCGAAGCUCUUGAUCGAAGCCCCGGUAAACGGCGGCCGUAACUAUAACGGUCCUAAGGUAGCGAAAUUCCUUGUCGGGUAAGUUCCGACCUGCACGAAUGGCGUAAUGAUGGCCAGGCUGUCUCCACCCGAGACUCAGUGAAAUUGAACUCGCUGUGAAGAUGCAGUGUACCCGCGGCAAGACGGAAAGACCCCGUGAACCUUUACUAUAGCUUGACACUGAACAUUGAGCCUUGAUGUGUAGGAUAGGUGGGAGGCUUAGAAGUGUGGACGCCAGUCUGCAUGGAGCCGACCUUGAAAUACCACCCUUUAAUGUUUGAUGUUCUAACGUUGACCCGUAAUCCGGGUUGCGGACAGUGUCUGGUGGGUAGUUUGACUGGGGCGGUCUCCUCCUAAAGAGUAACGGAGGAGCACGAAGGUUGGCUAAUCCUGGUCGGACAUCAGGAGGUUAGUGCAAUGGCAUAAGCCAGCUUGACUGCGAGCGUGACGGCGCGAGCAGGUGCGAAAGCAGGUCAUAGUGAUCCGGUGGUUCUGAAUGGAAGGGCCAUCGCUCAACGGAUAAAAGGUACUCCGGGGAUAACAGGCUGAUACCGCCCAAGAGUUCAUAUCGACGGCGGUGUUUGGCACCUCGAUGUCGGCUCAUCACAUCCUGGGGCUGAAGUAGGUCCCAAGGGUAUGGCUGUUCGCCAUUUAAAGUGGUACGCGAGCUGGGUUUAGAACGUCGUGAGACAGUUCGGUCCCUAUCUGCCGUGGGCGCUGGAGAACUGAGGGGGGCUGCUCCUAGUACGAGAGGACCGGAGUGGACGCAUCACUGGUGUUCGGGUUGUCAUGCCAAUGGCACUGCCCGGUAGCUAAAUGCGGAAGAGAUAAGUGCUGAAAGCAUCUAAGCACGAAACUUGCCCCGAGAUGAGUUCUCCCUGACUCCUUGA
rnacentral:rRNA from 1 species